rnacentral:ncRNA from 1 species
CAGAUAGAGGUGCAAUCUUUAUUAUUAAUAUUUUGGAGUAUGGAUAGGGUACUUUGAAAAGAUAUGAAAGGAAAGUUUGCCGAAAUCAAUUAUCCCUACUUGGUAAUUUGAUUGGGCUGCUGCUUAAUAGGUGGUGGACUGUCGAUUUUAGAGAGUGGAGUUC